rnacentral:hammerhead_ribozyme from 1 species
GUUCAGCUGAUGAGUUUCAAAUAGAAUGAAACGCGCGUCCUGGAU